rnacentral:rRNA from 1 species
AUGUCUGAUCAAGAGAGAAUGGUUUGGAGAAAGAGGAGGAUGAGAGAGAAAGGCUUCUCCUGUAACCGCGCCGCCCCUGCGGCCGGCCGGCCGCGCCCAUCCUCCUCCCCCGCGCGCCUCCCCCUCCCUCUUCCUCCUUGCCGUCGUCGCCGAAGCCCGCUGCGGGCCUGGCCCGGGCGACGCUGGUGGCGGCGGCCCCCUGACCUUUCCCCUCUCGGGGUCCGCCAGCGCGGGACGGGGCGACCCCGAGCGCCACUCACAUACAUACACACAAAAUCAGCACUACUAGCCAGCAGAACUCCAUUUGAGGGCCAGCCGAUGUUGCGCAUUUUUCACUCGAAGAAUGGUAAACUAAAGCCGCAAGAGACUGCAGUGCACGUUUUUCUGUACUUUGAUGUUCGUCUUUCACCUGAAAAAAAGGGCAAGUUUUUUGCUCCAAGAAUCAGCCACUUGGAUGAAAAUGAUGUUCGGUCCACGGCGGCGUCGUCUCGAUCGCUUCUUCUGGUUGUUGAUGUUGCUGUCAGUUUGGCCGCUGUUGGGCGGCUGCGUCGUCGUUUAGGGCAGCUACGGCCUGCUGCAACUCAAGGACUCGGCGAGCUUCAGCACGAUCAGGCCGGAGAGCAGCGUCGUGUAGAUGGCCAACGUGUCCACGUUCUUAAGUCCGCCGAGCUCGCCGGGAGAGGGCCAGAGAUGCUGGUUGAUUCUAUGGUUGCUCCUUCUCCGGUCAUAAUGGUCCUCGGCGCCCCCGCUGCUGCUCAUGAGCACCGCCGUUGCCACCGGCAGCCACCACGGAGGAGGCGGCUGCGCCGUUCUGGCUACUCCAUCGAGGCAGCGAAGCACGCCGAUGCCACCAGCGUGGUGGUUUGGGCCGUUCUGCUGCGUCAGCCGUUUUGUCGGCUCGGCCCGUAUGUAUGGAGCAUGCUCCGGCAUCUGAUGAUCGGCCGUUGUAUCGCGGUGGCCUUCUGCACGCUAGCAAGAUCGUCCCAUGAGCGGCGCUCAAAUUCUGUCAAGGUGGACUUUGUCCGACAGGAGGUACGACACCAGCACGGCACGACGGCUACGGCUACGGGAGGCCUCCAGCCAGUGGUGAUGCCGGUGUUCGGCGAGGUCCUGCCGGCGCGCGCUAAAGAUUCCACGGUUGAUCCUUCUUGCGGCGAGGAAGAGGCCCGCGCAUUGGCGGGCGAAUGGUGGUGGGCUGCAUCACUUAUGGGUGUGCGACGAAGGCGUCAGCGACGGCGAGCGAGACGUGUUGGUGGUCAGUUCACAGGAAGGGCACGACAUGGUGUUCCCCAAGGGCCAGUUGCGCCUGACGAGUCCAUGGACAACGCGGUCCAGCGCAAGGCCCUCGAGGAGGCCAGCGACUGCGCUGACACAGGCAAGGUGCUCCGCUGCUGGCACUACGAGAGGCCUCGAUCUCAAGUGCUGCUCUCCUCUCCUUUGCUUUCUGAAAUUAAUUGA